GCUCCGGUGGCCUAGUGGUUAGAGCUUCCGCUUCGAAUGCGGGAGGUCAUGAAAUCGAUCCCGGGUCGAGUCA